rnacentral:lncRNA from 1 species
GGGGACUCGGGGAAAUGUGGAGGCAGAACCAGAACAGAAACAGAACAUAACCAUGACAGUUUGAUUUUGCUAACAUUUAGUUUAACCAUUGGCAUAUAAUCUAACAACGAUUGCUAAAGUCAACAUUUUACUAACAGAUCUACUAAUCUCUGUGUAAAAGUAACAUAAUGAUGCUGCAAUCUUUCUGAAGUCAUUUUUAAUCUCCUGUAAUUGGGCUCAGAAUCUCAGGAUAAAAUUGUCAUUUUGACCCCCUCUACAAAAUAUUGGAUUACUCCGUUUCUCUUCUUGGCACAUAGCUGUGUUAUUUUUCUGUUUUGCUGCUGGAUUUGGAGCUGUGCUUCUGCUCUGCUGUCUGAUCUACUGCAGAUCAAAUAACACUGGUGUGUUUGGAAGAGAAUUGUUCUCACCUGUGGUACUUAACUCUGUAUGUGUAUCUGUAAGUGUCUCAAGUGGAUUGUUUUACAUCUUCCAGUCACCAGCAGAACAAUCAGGAAUCUUCAGCAUUCUCUGGUCUUUUAUCCAAACAUCUGUAUGUUCUUUGCCUUUAUCUUCUGGGGUCUUACUGAAGACAACCUUAAAACAUGGAUCAAGUUUUCAAGUAGAAAAAGAGAAUUAGCUGUUUUCACAGUCGUUGUUUAUUCAGUGUUUUUGAUAGAUGCCUGGAUAAAGGCUGCAAAUAAGAACUCUGCAUGGCACAUAAUUUUUGGAAUGUUCUAUGGAUGUGUUGUGCUGUUCUCUUUCAUUUUGAGUAGAGCUUUUCUAGCUGCGCCAGUGGUUCAGGCAAUACUGCUUAUGUGUAUGCGAACUAGCUUCUGGAAAUUAGUGAUAACAUUAUAUAUCAUCCUAGUGGUCUAUGUUCAUGUAUGCAUAUUUGGAAGAGAGAAAGAAUACUUGCAGUGGACCUUUAUGGUUGUAUUUCUUGAAGUUCUGAGGAUUAUGGUGGCCUUUGAAGACCGAGAUUAUGUUAUUGAGGCAGAACAUUCAGAAGCACAGAGACAACAACAACAGACCGAGACGAGCCAACAAGGAUCAAAUACAUUGUCUCUUUGUCAUAAAAUCAUGUUCAUGUUUGGAGCAGUUGGUCUUGUUUUGUUGAACUCUGGUUCACUGACAGCAGAACUGAUCCUGAAAGCACGAAAUGGUGAGCAUGUCGUGAAGGAUCUGAGAGUCAUAGUGUUUCUCUCUGAAUGUGUUUUUGUCUUAUAUUGGAUGAUUUUACAAAUAUGUGCUUUCUGUAAGUAUCUUCUAACAUAUUUUUAAAAGAGACUCAGUUGAUUAAAUCAAUCUGACUGUCAAAUGUAUGACUCGAUGAAUAUUAACAUCAUAAAUAAUGAGCCAGACUCAUGUAUUUUGGUG